UACAAUGUUUGACUCUUCGUCUUAUUUAAAAAAAUUAUGAUUAAUAUUUUUGUUUUUAUUAGAUGAUAAAUCAUGAAUAGUAUUUUAAGUGUGACUAAUUUUUUUAAAUUUUUAAAAAAAUUUCAAAUAAGACGGAUGGUCAAAUGCUCGACCUGAAAA
rnacentral:pre_miRNA from 1 species